rnacentral:rRNA from 1 species
CAGCUCCAAUAGCGUAUACUAAAGUUGUUGCAGUUAAAAAGCUCGUAGUUGAAUUUCUGACUUUGAGGCGCGACCGACCCCGUGUGGGUCUGUGUCUGUGAAUCGAGGUCAUCCUCGGGGAAUGCGUAUCUGUCAUUAAGUUGAUGGGUACGAGUACCCCGUCAUUUACUGUGAGCAAAAUAGAGUGUUCAAAGCAGCUU